rnacentral:rRNA from 1 species
UACGAGGGGGGCAAAUGUUGUUCGGAAUCACUGGGCGUAAAGGGAGCGUAGGCGGGCCCUUAAGUUAGGUGUUUAAUCCCGGGGCCCAACCCCGGUCGUGCACUUAAAACUGGGAGUCUUGAAUAGUGGAGAGGUCAGUGGAAUUGGGGGUGUAGCGGUGGAAUGCGUAGAGAUCCCCAAGAACACCAGUUGCGAAGGCGGCUGACUGGACACAUAUUGACGCUGAGGCUCGAAAGCAUGGGGAGCAAACAGG